rnacentral:rRNA from 1 species
GACGAACGCUGGCGGCGUGCUUAACACAUGCAAGUCGAACGGUAAGGCCCUUCGGGGUACACGAGUGGCGAACGGGUGAGUAACACGUGGGUGAUCUGCCCUGCACUUCGGGAUAAGCCUGGGAAACUGGGCCUAAUACCGGAUGGGACCAUGGACUUCACGGUUUGUGGUGGAAAGCUUUUGCGGUGUGGGAUGGGCCCGCGGCCUAUCAGCUUGUUGGUGGGGUAAUGGCCUACCAAGGCGACGACGGGUAGCCGGCCUGAGAGGGUGUCCGGCCACACUGGGACUGAGAUACGGCCCAGACUCCUACGGGAGGCAGCAGUGGGAAUAUUGGCACAAUGGGCGCAAGCCUGAUGCAGCGACGCCGCGUGAGGGAUGACGGCC